GUUGUAGCUCAGUGGUAGAGCGCUUGCCUCAUAUGGGUGAGGUACUGGGUUCCAUCCUCAGCACCACA
rnacentral:tRNA from 1 species